AUGUAUGCUGUGCACUUUUUUAAGCAGCGCUAUCUGAGCUACAGCUGUGUGAAUAGGAGCUGGUUAACGUUUGCUUUCUGGUUUUGUCACAUCGAAAGGACUAGCUUGCAGGAACAGAAGACUCUACUAAUGAAACCCACACCCCUACUGUUGUUCAGACACUUAAAGACAGAACAGAAGAGCUUCCAGAACUGGUAUUCAGUGGGGAAGACUUCCUUGAUCACCAGGUUCAUGUAUGACAGCUUUGACAACACCUACCAGGUAAAUUAAUUCGUCUUAUUGUCUUCUGUAAGGCUUCUGUAUUGUCUCCAUUCCCGUGUCUUCCAUUGCAGGAAGAACCCAUUUAACUGCAGUGAAUAGAGGUUGGUAGAUGAGCCAAAUUCUUAGCUUUGAGUCUCCAAAGCUUUAUAGUUGAACAGCCUUUCAAAACAGUACUUGUGUUACAUUCUGCUGAAGUAGCUUAUCCACUACUUGUGUCAGGAUGAUCUGUGGUUUGAAAGCAUAGGCCUCUUAUGUACAUCUAAGUGAUAUCAAUUAAGUCUACCAGGCUUUUUCACCAUUUGCUACCAGACCUUCACAAAUCAAAUGUAUCUGUAGGGAGAAUCUAACAGGUGUUCGGCUCUGCUGAAAAGAGUAGUAGUAAAGCUGAGCCCCAAGAGGUUCUGCAGUGGAGUGUAGGGCUGCAUGCAGCCCUGUUUAGGACGCUAUUUUAUGCUGCCUCCAAAACCAAAAACCACAACACUUUAAACAAGGUUGGGAUUGACAAGGAGGGCCUGAGACAGUGAUUGUCUCUUAUUCCGUUGGCCCUGCAGCCCCCCACUGCUUAGUGUUUGCUGACACGUCAGUUCGAGUCGACACUCAAGCUAACGCUCCUGAAUUCUAGGGGAGCAAUUAUCAUUGCUAACUCUCAGAUUCUGGGAUAAGCUUGAGACGACAGCAAUUUAUAAAAGUACACCAUGAAACCAAAAAUGGGUCUUCUGCAACCGAAAGCAUGUUUCAUGACUUAUUUACAGUUAGUGACAUUCUGUAUAUGCUAAACUGAGAAAAUCUGUUCCCUAAAGAAUGUGGAGGGAUACUUGGGGGUGGGGAGGCAAGGUAAUAAAAAAACCCCAGCUGUGACUCUUCUGUCA
rnacentral:lncRNA from 1 species